rnacentral:rRNA from 1 species
GACGAACGCUGGCGGCGUGCCUAAUACAUGCAAGUAGAACGCAGUUGCGAACGUGUGAGUAACGCGUAGGUAACUGCCUGGUAGCGGGGGAUAACUAUUGGAAACGAUAGCGAAUACCGCCUACAACCAGAUGGACCUGCGUUGUAUUAGCUAGUUGGAGCGGUAACGGCUCACCAAGGCAACGGUACAUAGCCGAGCUGGGAGGGUGAACGGCCACCAUUGGACUGGGACACGGCCCAGAAUCCUUCGGGAGGCAGCAGUAGGGAAACUUUGGCAAUUGGGGGAAACCUGACCGAACACCGCCGCGGGAGUGAAGAAGGUUUUCGGGUCGUAAAGCUCUGUUGUGAAGGAAGCGGUACUUAACCAGAAAGGGACGGCUAACUACGUGCCAGCAGCCGCGGUAAUAC